GGAGAGGUGGCCGAGUGGUUGAAGGCGCGCCCCUGCUAAGGGUGUAUACGAGAAAUCGUAUCGAGGGUUCGAAUCCCUUCCUCUCCGCCA
rnacentral:tRNA from 1 species